rnacentral:lncRNA from 1 species
CUCAAGCUCUAAGUCCGUGAAGCCGCAGCGGUGGGGGCCUGCAGGCCCGGCAGCCGGGAGGGCCUGGUUCGGGGCGGCUGCCUGGCGCCUUUUCAACGUCCUCUUCUGACUGUGCAGCUCGAAUCCGCGGCGUCCCCGGAGGGCCAGAGGGGGAAACGACCCCGAUAGAAACCCGACCGCGAAGGGGAGGAGGGGCGCCUCGGAAAUGUCUCCCGCCCUAAAUGAGCGAGCCCCCUACUCCUACUCCCGAGGCUGAGCCGCCGCUUUGAGUCAGCCUCGGCCGCCCACGCUGGCUGCUGGGGCUGUAGGAGGCCACUGCAAAGGUUCAACCUCCGCACGCCCCCCGUGGGGCCUGGACUUUGCUCUCAGCACAGCUGCCUUCGCGGGCGCCUAGUCCCCACAACCCCUGCUUCACCUCCACAUAGGGGGAGGACAGGGGCUCUCGCUUCUGCUUCAUUUGGACCCCUCGAGAGUCUUCACUCCCGCUUUGGCUCCCGGCCUCUGAACCUUAUGAGAGCUCACUUCUUUGAGGCGAAAAGUCGAGGCAUCGCCAAGAACCUUCAAAAUGAAUGCGGGGCCGGGCAAACUUUGCAACACGCAAUUGCAGGGCUGUGGAUCCAUCCACAGGUGUGGAUUCUGCAAUGCUGCACAGAAACCUACUGCAGCCUCAGACCAACAGCAGCAGCAGCAGCGGCGGCGGCGGCAGCAGCAGCAGCAGCAUUAGCAGCAGCAGCUUCUCUCAAUGCUGAGUAUUGAAUACAGAUAAUCAUGAGGCCCAAGACCCUAAGGAACAGUGCAGCCAGGAGUCGGAAGGAGCCUGGGUUUCUGAAUCAUCACAUGGAGGGGAGCUGUCUUCAGCUGGGAGAGCUGUCUUCAGUUGGAUACUGGGCACAGGUUAUGUCCCUUGUCUGGAUGAACCCAUGAGCAGAAUCCUGCUGCCUGCCUGUCUUCCAGAACCCCCUCCCACAUGUUGCCCAUGGAGAUCACCUACAAGCUUGCUGGGGACAACAGUUUUGUGCAUCAGGCAUGUACAUGGGACCACCCUCCUCCUACUUCUCACACCCAUGGAUUCCUUCUCUGGAUCUAUGGGUUUAUUGUCUGUGGCUUCCUAUACCUGCUUCCUGUCUCUUGAUUUUGAUGACUAGUUUGGAUGUCCUUCUCUGCAUCCAUGGCCUUGGUUCUCCUACCUCCUUUCUUUUUUGAACUGGCCAAGCCUUCGAGGGAUAUCUACAAGUUCUUCUAAUAAUUCCCCUUAUAUAGGGUUGCUGGAUUUAGCAAAUAAGAAUACAGGACACCUUGUUAAAUUUACAUUUCAGCUUAGCAACAAAUUUACAUUUCAGCUUAGCAAUAAAUAAUAUUUGCAUGUCCCAUGCCAUCUAUGGGACAUACUUCUAUUAGGAAAUUAUUCACUGUUUAUCUGAAAUUCAGAUUUAACUGUGUAUCCUGUUUUUUAUCUGGCAACCCUACACCUACAGUUCCUUGCUGAGGAAAUGGCCUUAAGCUCUUUAUGCACAGGUAGGUGGUCAUGCUGUGUCCCAUAGGACCCCACCCCUACCCCAUCCCCAACGUCAUAGCUAAUUGGAUCAGGAGUGAGCACUUGACCCAAGGUCAGCUAGUGCAUAGGUUGGCCCAUAGUCUAAAAAGUAGCCUGGUGCAAGACCUUUGCACUAGAGGGAAAUAGUGUUUAAGUGAACCAAAUCAGAGGUUCUCCCUCAGUAGUCAGAGAGUAAGAGAAUAAUCAGUAAGAGAGAGUGAGAGAAUCAGUUGGUAGGAAGAAAAAAGCCAAAAGAUACAUAGAGAGAAAAAAACAGUAAAUACAAUUCAUGAAGUCGUAGAAGUCCUGAACAAGCUGCUCUAUGGGGAGGGAAGAAGGAUGGAAUCAGGACUUCGUCAGUUGCAACAGGAGCCGCUGAAGUAGAAGGAGAGAGAAAGGAAACAGCGGAGGCAUGGUAAUGGUAGGAUGCCAGGGACCAGUCAGCACCAGACCUGAAAGUCCAUGAGAUAACCUGCUGAUUUGACUACCAGCUUCCAGAUCCCAAACCAAGAGCAAAACUCCCUAAGACUCCCAAACUCCCUAGGCUGGGCCGUGGAUUUUUUUCUUUCUGUGCGGUCUGGUGGUUUAGCUUGGUUCACACGAGAGGCCUACCAACUUGGCUGAGCUUUCUUAUUUCUAUUUCUAUCAUUACAAUGAAUCUCCAUAAUUUCUGGUGUGAAGGUAACCUAACCUAGAAGGGAAGCACUCUUAGCUUUGUUUGUGCUGUUCAACACACCAUCCAGGCGAAGGGGACCCACCCCACCCCUGUCCAUCUCUCACUGCCAUGCAUAUCUCCAGAUACUGAUACCUGCUGGAACUGACCUGGAACUUCUGACCCUAGGCCUUAUAGCACUGCCUGCCCGUAUGAAAUCUUGGUUCUGGAAUCUUCCCAUCCUCACUGACCUAGUGCCUAGCACAGUGUCUGACACAUGCCUGGAGAACAAUGACUAUAUGCACAAAUGCAGUCAAAUUCAUCUCUUUUGGCUUGAGUGGUUGUGGUGGAGAGGAGAUAGAAGCCCUGAAUGUGAGUUCUGGCUCUGCAACUUCCUCACUACAUAACCAUGGGCAAGCUACUCAAAUCCUUUAAGCCUCCGUUUCCUCCUCUGUGAAAUGAGGAUGGCGUUAUCUACCUGUUAGAGCUAUUGUGAGGUUUAAAAUAGCAGACAUGUGAAAGCCUAUAUAUAACAGGCCCUCUGAAAAACUUUACUGCAUCUAAGUAUAAGGAAGCUGCAUUUUGUUAGGGUUGCACUUUAUGAGACCUCAGAUGAGUAGAAAACAAACAAACAAACAAAUCUCAUGAUAUAAGAGUCCUCUUGGCAAAGGAUGGCAGCCAUUUAUGUUGGCCAGCUGGCAAGAGAAGAAGCAAAGUUUAUAGUUUGCUGGGAUUGCAGGUCAAAAAUCUUGCAAUUUUGGACAAAUUUUUAUUUUUAGAUUAUUUGGAUUCUUUUCUUUUCUUUUCUUUUCUUUUUUUUUUUGAGAUGGAGUCUCGCUCUGUCAUCCAGGCUGGAGUGCAGUGGCGCAGUCAUGGCUCACCGCAAGCUCUUCCUCCCAGGUUCACGCCAUUAUCCUGCUUCACCCUCCUGAGUAGCUGGGACUACAGGCGCUCACCACCAUGCCUGGCUAAUUUUUUUUUUUUUUUUGUAUUUUUAAUAGAGACGGGGUUUCACCGUGUUAGCCAGGAUGGUCUUGAUCUCCUGACCUCGUGAUCCGCCCGCCUCAGCCUCCCAAAAUACUGGGAUUACAGGCGUGAGCCACCACGCCCAGCUUGGAUUAUUUUCAAAAUUUCAAAAAGAUGAAUCUUUAUUAUUACUUUUGUAUUAGUCUCCUUUAAAUGUACUUAAAUCAAAUUUGCUUACAAUAUCCCUGCCCCCAAUUCCAUGAUUUGAGGGAGAAGAAGAUGAAAAAUGUACUUUGUGAUACAAAAUGGAUGACUCUUUAUGGUCCUGCACAGCUGCAUGUUCCAGCAUCACAUUAACCUCUGGAUCUUCUCAGCAUUCACUCUGGAAUUUUUAAAAUGUCAUAACAGUGUAUUUUCAAAAUAAUAUCCUUGUGCACCCCCUCCUCCCCAAUCGUGUAAUAUUGUCAGGAUGUUUUAUCUGGUGCCAUAUAUCCUGCACAUGACAAAUCCAUUUCCCCAAACAAACCAUCGCAUAUGUCCACACUGUCCAUAAAUUUUGAAUCCUGACAUCAACACUAUUACCCUCUGACGUUUGGGUUGGCCUGAGUUGUGCAAAAUUGAGGGGGUGAUGUUUUUAAGGAAUGAGGGGAUGUCACUCUUUUCUUUCUGAUGGGUCCCCUCUGGAGAAAGUGAUGUCGGGAACAUGCAAAACUUAACCCUACUGGAGAAAGCCCCAGAUACUCUCCCCAGGGUAUCCAGAGAUUAAACCGGCCAGAUCUGUAAGCAUCUCCACCUCUGGGGGUGAUAACAAGGUCACCCUAUACUUAGGUUUGGCUUUAUAAUAAUACAUCUGGCAUCAAUAGAGAUUCCUUCUUUUCAGAGUGCUUUCCUAUUUAUGAUCUCAUUUUGCCCUUGCAGGAGGAAGAAAGGGAGCUGGUUAGGAAGCAAACUUGAGUUUCCCAUGCUCUGUGGCUGAGCAAGUCACUUCACCAUUCUCAGGUUCAGUUUCUUCAUCUGUGAAGUGGUAUUAUAAGGGCUGUUGACUGCUUAGGGUUGUCUAAGUGCAAAUGUUGCUGUGGGUUGGGCAGGAAUGCUUUAGGAAAUACAAAAAGCCAUAGACAGAACUGCACUGUGAUGAUAAAAGUCAUUUAGACACUCUGGAAGCUAUAGAGCUGGAAGGAACUUCAGAAAUAAUAGUAAAGAGGUUUCAGUCUUUUAUCUUGUGAAGAUGCACAGAUGAAUCGUGGGCAGGAGCAGGACACAUUACUUUGGUGGCUCAGAUUUUUGGUCUCUCACUUUAAGAGGCACCUAAACGGCAAGCAAAAUGCCAUCGCUGGCAUUGGCUCCUUCUCCACUCCACUCUCACUCACUCAAGAAAGCAUACCAGAAUGUUAGUGAGAGAGGUUAUUAUAAGGGUAACCUUGAUUUCACUCUAAUUUAUUUUUCAAAAAUGCAAACUCAGGAUUCUCACAUGGAACAAAACCCUGACCCAAACCAACUUAAGCAAGAGUUGAUAUUUAUUGACUCGUGAAAUUAAAGAAUAUCCAGCAGUAGAGGCUUUAGUCCUGGCUAGAUCCAGGGGAUCAAAUGGUUUUGUCAGAACUUAGACUAUUUAUUCAUCUCUAGGUUCUACUUUUCUUUCUAUCGACACUGUCAGACAGAGUCUUUUCAUGAGUGAUAAAUGGCUGUUGGCAGGCUUCGGUUUGUAUCCCCAAAGCUUAGCACCCUCUGUGAAAAGAGAGCUUUCUUCUCCCAAUAGUUUCAGUGUUAAGUUCUAGGAUUAAGACUCAUUGGACUGACUUGGAAUCACUGUCCCCUAUCCUUGAAUCAGCCACUGUUUUCAGGGCAGUGGGAUAUGCUGACUGCCUAGGACUACAUCUUCUCUUUCUUUCUCUCCAGGAUGGAAGUGGGGAUGGAGGUGGCAUCGGCCUCAUUUGAACCACAUGGACUAAGAGGGGCUAUGGGAGUAUUCCCCAAAGGAAGACUGAGGGGCGUUACUAGAAAAUGGGAGAAUGGAAGCAGAGUGGGCAAAACCAACAGAUGUUCCCUAUAGUAAAUAAAAAAUUUGGACAAUUAUUAGUGAGCAAGUACUUAUAACAUAUAUGGCACAUGGGAUUGUGACUCACCAGUGUGUUAGCACAAUAUGGUCAAAAACCUCUGAUCCAAUUCAACCUACUCAUCUUAACGAUUUUAUCAGCAUUUAAUAAGUUUGUUUUGGCCAUCAUGUGUUAUAGUUUUGUUUGUGGUUUUGACACCUCAUUAGAGGUUUCAUCAGUGUAAGGAGCCAACCUAAGAGCUCUUCUCACAAGUUUCCCAAGAGAGAAAUUGCCCCUCCAAAUGUGAGGAGUCUCACUUUAUAUAGAUAGCAUCCACACUUCUUGCAGUGGAAAACAAACCUUAUAAAAUGUAAUACGUUUGGUUUCCUAACUUUUUCAUGACCCUGGGGUGGUAGAAGGAAGUGCAAGUUUUAUCACUUGGAUUUAGAGACAAGGAAAUUGAAAUGGAGAGAGAAUUGGGCUCACAUGCAGGCAGCAUGUCUAGCUGCCUCCAUCGUGUGAUCUGAGGCACCCCAUGAGGCCUAUGAUUACUGUAAACCUCUAAAAUAAAUAAAAAAUAAAACAAUCUCUGCCACUGAAGUGCUUCUUAAUGAGAUGUGUGUAGUUUAAUGGGAUCAAGGCAUUGGAUCACUUGAAGGACAAUGUAUAAUUAAUGCGUUUUUACAAGUUGGUUCAAUUCAAAAAAUACUUAUUGAGGAUCUACUACUAG